rnacentral:tRNA from 1 species
AGGUUUGUAGCUCAGUGGUUAGAGCAAUCGACUCAUAAUUGAUUGGUCGGGGGUUCAAAUCCCUCCAAACCUA